rnacentral:misc_RNA from 1 species
GGGAUGAUUAGAAGCUAAAAAAACAUGCCCUAAUGUUUCUGGGUCAGGCUCCCUAAUUUCUCACGCUAUCUUGUAAAGAUAGGGAUCCAGUCGUCCUCCUGUCCCUGAUCUUUUGAUCUCUUCCAGCUUUAACAGCAUUCUGAGAGCUUUGCUAGUGUCCGGACUGUCACCGAGCACUUGGCGUAUUCUUACUUCAGAGGAACUACCGCAAGACAGGAAUUCCAAAAUUGCUUCGGCUCGUCGCCUUAUGUAAUUCGAGCCCGAGCCAUAACCAGAGUCCACUUUACACUUCUUUGGCUUCUCACAAACUUCCAGUUGGUUCCUUUCCAUGCCUCUGAUCAUGUAGCGGCUUCGCGCGCUUGAAUCCGCACUAGACGUGCUUGAUAAGGAGGAGACCUCAGUUGACUCUGAUUUUGAAGAAGCCCUCGCAGGCAGAGCAAGGACGACUUCCUGGUGGUCGGAGAUCCAGCUGACCUUGGUGCGCCUCUUUCUCACCACCUUGAACUUCUUCUCAUGACAUCGAGCCACAACAGCGACUAUCCUGAGGUUAUGGGCCUCUCGAAUUUCCUUGGACGAAUCAUUGUCACUGGUAAGAGAUGAAGAGUGUGAUUUUGAGCUCAAAUUCUCCUCGCUGCUGCUCUCGCUUAUGCUUCUCUCUGUCAUCACCGUCGCAGAGCCACCAUCAAAUCCAAGCUCUGGAGGAGAAGGAGAAAGCGGGUUGGUGUUGGAGAGAAGGAGAAGAGCAGAAGCAACAGUACGUUCAAGAGGAGAAGGAAACGAAGUCAUCGUUUUCGUCUUUUGUGCUCUGAAAAUGGCGG